rnacentral:rRNA from 1 species
AUUGAACGCUGGCGGCAGGCCUAACACAUGCAAGUCGAACGAGUGGCGGACGGGUGAGUAAUGUCUGGGAAACUGCCUGCUGGAGGGGGAUAACUACUGGAAACGGUAGCUAAUACCGCAUACCAUCGGAUGUGCCCAUAUGGGAUUAGCUAGGAGGUGGGGUAAAGGCUCACCUAGGGGAAGAUCCCUAGCGGGUCUGAGAGGAUGAACAGCCCCACUGGAACGGAUACACGGUCCAGACUCCUACGGGAGGCAGCAGUGGGGAAUAUUGCACAAGGGGCGCAAGCCUGAUGCAGCCAUGCCGCGUGUAUGAAGAAGGCCUUCGGGUUGUAAAGUACUUUCAGCGGGGAGGCGUUACCCGCAGAAGAAGCACCGGCUAACUCCGUGCCAGCAGCCGCGGUAAUUC